rnacentral:rRNA from 1 species
ACGGACUUAACCAUUAGUUUACUAUUGGAGCGGUUAGUGGCGGACUGGUGAGUAACACGUAAGCAACCUGCCUAUCAGAGGGGAACAACAGUUAGAAAUGACUGCUAAUACCGCAUAUACCCAAGUGUCACAUGGCACAAUGGGGAAAGGAGCAAUCCGCUGAUAGAUGGGCUUGCGUCUGAUUAGCUAGUUGGUGGGGUAACGGCCUACCAAGGCGACGAUCAGUAGCCGGACUGAGAGGUUGAACGGCCACAUUGGGACUGAGAUACGGCCCAGACUCCUACGGGAGGCAGCAGUCGGGAAUAUUGCGCAAUGGAGGAAACUCUGACGCAGUGACGCCGCGUGCAGGAAGAAGGUUUUCGGAUUGUAAACUGCUUUAGACAGGGAAGAAACAAGACAGUACCUGUAGAAUAAGCUCCGGCUAACUACGUGCCAGCAGCCGCGGUAAUACGUAGGGAGCGAGCGUUAUCCGGAUUUAUUGGGUGUAAAGGGUGCGUAGACGGGAAAAUAAGUUAGUUGUGAAAGCCCUCGGCUUAACUGAGGAACUGCAACUAAAACUGUUUUUCUUGAGUACUGGAGAGGAAAGUGGAAUUCCUAGUGUAGCGGUGAAAUGCGUAGAUAUUAGGAGGAACACC